rnacentral:lncRNA from 1 species
AUUUGUUUUACAAAUUAUUUCUCUUUCUUUCUUUACUUCUCCUCUUAUUACUCUAUCUUUACUUCUCCCCUAUUACUCUUUCUUUACUUCUCCCCCUUUUUGUUACUCUAUUUACUCUAUCUUUACUUCUCCCCUAUUACUCUUUCUUUACUUCUCCCCCUUUUUGUUAUCAUCAAAUAGGUACAUGGAAAAAGACACAAUAACAAACAUUCAAACUUCAUUGAUCAAAAUAGGAACAUUUUAGUACAAUCAUGCCAAAAACAAAAGCAAAUAUAAUGUUCCUCAAUCAAGGUUCAAAAUACAUGAUCAACACAAAAUACAUAUGAGAACUAGAUACAUAUCCUAGGCUCUAAACAAGAUCGUGAGACUCUUCCGAAUCGCUUGGCUACGGCUCUCUUGGGUCCCAUUUCUCCAAGAUAUGGCCGGCGGUAUCAUUGCUGAGUGAUCGCUCGCUAUCUGGCUUGAAAAGGUGGUCCGGAAGCUUCCUCUCUCCCAGCAAGCAAGACGAGAUGAG